AGUGAACGCUGGCGGUAGGCCUAACACAUGCAAGUCGAACGGCAGCACAGGAGAGCUUGCUCUCUGGGUGGCGAGUGGCGGACGGGUGAGGAAUACAUCGGAAUCUACUUUUUCGUGGGGGAUAACGUAGGGAAACUUACGCUAAUACCGCAUACGACCUACGGGUGAAAGCAGGGGAUCUUCGGACCUUGCGCGAUUGAAUGAGCCGAUGUCGGAUUAGCUAGUUGGCGGGGUAAAGGCCCACCAAGGCGACGAUCCGUAGCUGGUCUGGGAGGAUGUUCAGCCACACUGGAGCUGAGACACGGUCCAGACUCCUACGGGAGGCAGCAGUGGGGAAUAUUGGACAGUGGGCGCAAGCCUGAUCCAGCCAUACCGCGUGGGUGAAGAAGGCCUUCGGGUUGUAAAGCCCUUUUGUUGGGAAAGAAAUCCAGCUGGUUAAUACCCGGUUGGGAUGACGGUACCCAAAGAAUAAGCACCGGCUAACUUCGUGCCAGCCGCCGCAGUAA
rnacentral:rRNA from 1 species